CAGCCACAUCACAUUGAAACAUUGGUUCCCAUAUAAUCACCAAAGUUAAGCAAUGUUAAGCCUUGUCAGUAACUAGAUAGGUGACCACUUGGGACUACCAGGUGCUGUAAG